rnacentral:rRNA from 1 species
UACAGAGGUCUCAAGCGUUGUUCGGAUUCAUUGGGCGUAAAGGGUGCGUAGGUGGCGCCGUAAGUCGGGUGUGAAAUUUCGGAGCUUAACUCCGAAACUGCAUUCGAUACUGCCGUGCUUGAGGACUGGAGAGGAGACUGGAAUUUACGGUGUAGCGGUGAAAUGCGUAGAUAUCAGGAGGAACACCGGUGGCGAAGGCGCCACUCUGGGCCGAAAACUGACGCUGAGGAGCGAAAGCGUGGGUAGCAAACAGG